rnacentral:rRNA from 1 species
AGAGUUUGAUCAUGGCUCAGAGCGAACGCUGGCGGCAGGCCUAACACAUGCAAGUCGAACGCCCCUUCGGGGGAGUGGCGGACGGGUGAGUAACGCGUGGGAAUGUGCCCUUUGGUACGGAACAACUGAGGGAAACUUCAGCUAAUACCGUAUGUGCCCUUCGGGGGAAAGAUUUAUCGCCAUUGGAGCAGCCCGCGUUGGAUUAGGUAGUUGGUGGGGUAAAGGCCUACCAAGCCUACGAUCCAUAGCUGGUCUGAGAGGAUGAUCAGCCACACUGGGACUGAGACACGGCCCAGACUCCUACGGGAGGCAGCAGUGGGGAAUCUUGCGCAAUGGGCGAAAGCCUGACGCAGCCAUGCCGCGUGUAUGAUGAAGGUCUUAGGAUUGUAAAAUACUUUCACCGGGGAAGAUAAUGACGGUACCCGGAGAAGAAGCCCCGGCUAACUUCGUGCCAGCAGCCGCGGUAAUACGAAGGGGGCUAGCGUUGCUCGGAAUUACUGGGCGUAAAGGGCGCGUAGGCGGAUAGUUUAGUCAGAGGUGAAAGCCCAGGGCUCAACCUUGGAAUUGCCUUUGAUACUGGCUAUCUUGAGUUCGGGAGAGGUGAGUGGAAUGCCGAGUGUAGAGGUGAAAUUCGUAGAUAUUCGGCGGAACACCAGUGGCGAAGGCGACUCACUGGCCCGAUACUGACGCUGAGGCGCGAAAGCGUGGGGAGCAAACAGGAUUAGAUACCCUAGUAGUCC